UACCAUUGCCUGGACCUUCUAGGGUUUGCUUUUCCUCCUCUCCGUUUCUUUGUUGUCGCCUGCUUCUCCGAGGUAGAGUUUUGAACGAACUCAUCAAAUCCGGGAUUUACGGCAAAAAAAGCGAAAUGGAGGAUUUAUUUCGCCGUGGGUUUUAAGAUCUCCUCAAAUCCCGUUUGGCAGGAUUCAGCAUAAAUUAUGUGUCCAAACUGCCCCAUUAGGGUGAAUUCCCUAUAAUUAGGGAGGUGAGUUGGAGAGGAAAUGAUAGUAGACUCCAUGAAUUUGCCAAGAUCCCCUAAACCAUCACUAGAAGGUGCCGAGCCCUGUCCAGUCGGAAAGCAGGUCAGGCUUGCGGGACUUGCAGUUCCAGAUGCCGCUAUGGUGAGUUUGAAAUCCCUGGGCAGUUGAGCAAGACGAGGGCUGGCAAAGGAAAGAGGUCUUUAUUGUGAGGAUCACUAGAACAAUCCCUUACACGUCUUCGAGGCUUUUGAGUCAAUUCCGUGCAAGAAGGCUGGGUAGUAGACUACUUCCUCAAAACUUUUGAAUCUUAGUUCAAGAUACCCAUCUAAGGAGAUAUUUGACCACUAUCAGGUUAUCUGAAUUAUCCCUUGUUUAGUCUACAGCCAAAUGUUCUUUUUCAAGAAAAGUGAGCUGCUGUUUGUUUUUGUUUUGAACAGGCGAAGCGAGCGGGCUGACCUUCAUCAGAGAUAUUUCAACAUCAGAUUCCGGUUUAGAUGGAUUGGUUUGAGCUGGAGGUGAAAGGUCAAGAGGGGCAAUCUCACUUUCUCAUCUUCCUCAGUUUCAAUCUCUCCCUGAAGAUGAGGUUUGGUGAAAUAAGAUUUUUGGUCAUCAAAAGUAAUGUCAACAGAUAUAAGAAUUUUCUUGGUAGAGGAAUGAUAACACUUAUAACAUUUCUGAGUGGAUGAAUAUCCAACAAAAAUACAUUUAAAUGCUAUUGGAUCUAAUUUUCCUCUAUUUUGACUAUGAAUGUAAACAUAGGUAGUGCACCCAAAGAUUCUGGGUGUGAGGUUGUUAUGGGUUUAAAAUUCAGGGUAAAAAUAUGAUAGGAUAUACAUUAAUGUUUUUAGUCCCAAUGUUGUUAAAGGUAGUUGAUUUAUGAGAUAUGUGGCUAUCAGAAGGGCUUCCCUAAGUAUGAUUUGGGUACAUUGUGGUGGAAUAUAAGUGCACUGGUGGAGGCCAGAAGAUGGCCAUUUUUUUUUUCUACAAAUCCAUUUUGUUUUGAGG